AAGCGGACGUCUGCGCUCGGGCUUGGAAUUCCAGUCCAGUCCAUUUCUUUUUCUCAUCCGCUUCUUCGAUUCUCAUCGAAUCUUUUCAGUUUAUUCCUUCAGACGUAUUACUGACUUAUGUAUCACAACACUACGGAGGCGUGUCCUGAGAGUCACAUAGAAUAAAGAUUAACAUGGCAGAGGUUCUUCCUUGGUGGCAUUUUAAUAAUCACUUACACCUUUUUUCGGAUCCUGAGGAUGUUCUGUAUCAGAGGUACAGUUGUUGUUAACGUUGCAGAUAGAAUUUCAUGUAGUAGAACCGUGGUGUGCACAUGCUGAACUGUGAUUGGCUGUGUCCCAAAAUGGUAAAGCACUCUGAUAAUCGGGUUUCUGGGGGGGAAAAAAAACACAGAAUAUACCGAAUUCACCUUAGAUGUAGAGCUUAUAGAAGUUGUAUUGGAUUCAGCUGCAGAUGCAUUUGUCCACUUAGUAGGGUUGCGGAAUUCUGGGAAUUUCCAAGACUUUCCAUGGGAAUUAACAGGAAUAUAUGGGAUUUAAUUUACAAAAUUGCAGGUUAGCCUUUAUUAGGGAAUUUAAUUGUAGGAAAUGUUUUUUAAAACAACCAGAUUGAAUGUAAUUCCAGUAAAAUUUUACCUGGACGUUCAUCCAUCACAUGCACGCAGCACACUUAGAGCAGGGCUACUGAGGCCACGCCCCCUACGUGCACUGUGCAUCCCUCCAUCACAUAGCAUGCGUCAUUUCUUCAAUCCUGCACACAAAAUGAUGUCCAAAAAACGUCCAUCUUGUUGAUUAUUCACGUAAAUUACAUAAAUCUGUCUUUUUGUUUCGCCAUGUGUAAGCCGCAACAAAAUUAUACUAACAAUUAAAUCAGUCAGAAAUGUUUGUUUGCGUGCAUGCUAACUUAU